rnacentral:rRNA from 1 species
UACGGAGGGUGCAAGCGUUAAUCGGAAUUACUGGGCGUAAAGCGUGCGCAGGCGGUUUGUUAAGUCUGGUGUGAAAUCCCCGAGCUCAACUUGGGAAUUGCAGUGGAUACUGGCAGGCUGGAGUAUGGUAGAGGAAGGUGGAAUUCCCGGUGUAGCAGUGAAAUGCGUAGAGAUCGGGAGGAACACCAGUGGCGAAGGCGGCCUUCUGGACCAAUACUGACGCUCAUGCACGAAAGCGUGGGGAGCAAACAGG